rnacentral:ncRNA from 1 species
GUGUUGUCUGAAAGGAGAGGAAGUCAGCAUGCCCUGGACAGGGAAGAGGCCGUCAGGCCUCCAAACACGCCUGCAGUUAAGGCACUGCACAUACCUAGUGGCAUCUAACCCCAGCUUUUC